AUUGAACGCUGGCGGCAGGCCUAACACAUGCAAGUCGAACGAGUGGCGGACGGGUGAGUAAUGUCUGGGAAACUGCCUGAUGGAGGGGGAUAGCUACUGGAAACGGUCGCUAAUCGCGCAUACCAUCAGAUGUGCCGAGAUGGGAGUAGCUUGGUGGUGGGGUAACGGCGCACCAAGGCGACGAUCCCUAGCUGGUCUGAGAGGGUGACCAGCCACACUGGAACUGAGACACGGUCCAGACUCCUACGGGAGGCAGCAGUGGGGAAUAUUGCACAAUGGGCGCAAGCCUGAUGCAGCCAUGCCGCGUGUAUGAAGAAGGCCUUCGGGUUGUAAAGUACUUUCAGCGGGGAGGCGUUACCCGCAGAAGAAGCACCGGCUAACUCCGUGCCAGCAGCCGCGGUAAUAC
rnacentral:rRNA from 1 species